GGGAAGAAGGAAUGCCCCCCGGUGGGGAAGAGGGAAUGGCCUUCUCGGUUCACGCCUGGGCCUUUUAUAGGCUGCAACUUCCCCUCGUUCUUCUCCUCUGUGGCUGAUCCAAAUGGGAGGAUAAGGUCGUGGAAGUUGAUCUGAUCCGAAGGAAGUUGAGAGGAGAUGAGCGUGGGACGUUAGGUGUUGAUGAGGAAUGCUGUUUCGAACGGGAUAUGUGGAAGAAAUCUGGACGCAUAGGAUAAGGAUGAACUCGGAACAGGGGCGCAGAGGAGAUGAUGUUGUUUUGUUGCUGGGAAGAAAUCGGCUGAUAGCUGGGGGGUUUGGGAAGUUCAUGAGAUUUGACUUUAUCCCAUGGAGAUGGAAGAUUGGAUUCUCUGAUUCGUGGGAUCUUGGGAAGGAUGCGGAGAAGCUCGGCUNNN
rnacentral:lncRNA from 1 species